AAACAAUCCUCUGCACUGCCUCGGCGCACCUCCCAGCACAGCAGGGAAAGCACUGAUGUUUGGAGGUCGCCACAGUGACAGCAUCUUGGAGAGUCAACUUUGCGCAGGCGGUAACGCCACUGAACAGUAUAAGCCACGUUUGAGUCGCAUCCGAUGAAUUAAUGCAGCAUCUUGACGGGAGGUAUUUCGUGGCAUCCGAAAAGCGAGCGUUGGAUCAACUCUUGCAAGCGUGGAGAGGGUGUCAUCUUUAUACUGCGGUCGGAUUGGGACAGGAAAAAGGACCUCCGUAAUUUGAACUCAGAAAACCAAGAGCUGGACUGAGACAGGAAGAAGGACCUCUGCUAUUUGGCCCCUGAAAACCUAGAGAUGGACUGAGACAGGAAGGAGAACCUCUGCUAUUUGGCCCCUGAAAACCAAGAGGU